GUUAGGGAAGGGGCGUUACCGGUGUAAAUAGGAUGAAGUUAUUGUGAGGAUUAUGGAAACUCCCAAUGAGUCUGAAAGUUCAUUUAUUCCGUCGCAUUGUGGUGGAUAUGAUAACGAUUUUGAUCUCUACAGUGAACCAUGUGAUGAUUUAAAGGAUUUUGAUUAUAAUUCAUCUGAAGAUGAAUCAGAGCAUUCAGACGCAACGUACACAAAGGAACAUGUUACGAAGUCAACUCUAGACGUGAAUGACCUAUGUGAUAGGUCGUAUAACAGACCAAAGAGUAGUCUUAGUUUACGUUAUGACAGCUAUAACAGUGACAUAUUUGAAAAGAGAAAUAAUAGAAGAGUACGUGCCAGAAGCUGUGAACCAAAGAAACGUGUAACAUUUGAGAAAACAGAUGAGGAUGAAGAAAUACAGGACUUUUUGUCAGCAUUUCAACGCAGUCUCAAAUUGCUGGGCCUAGAAACGAAUAAAUCCUAUACUACCUGUUAUAAGCCAACAAAUAAUUCUAUCAGCAGACGGACACCAACACCACGAUUGUGUACAAGAUUGCAUGAACGCUCAUUAUCGUUGGCCAGUCUUAGGCAAGAUGACAUGUACACCAUGCUCAGAGAUCGUGAACUGUUGUCUAAAGCUGUUUAUGAGGAGUGGUAUUUUCGCAAGUUAAUGCAGGAGCGUGCAGCACGUGAGAGGGAGAGAAUGAAACAAAAACAGCAACAAGAGAAAUCUGAAAAUGUCCGCCAAAAAGCACAACUGGAGUUCCAGCGAUGGUGCAGUCGAAAGAGAGAGAAGGUUCAUGAACUGAAGAGUAAGAAACAUGAUGACACUCAGAUUGGACUUGCCACCACAAGUAAUCAAGAGAUCCGUGCAAAAGCAGAAUCUGCAUUCCAUCAGUGGCUGCAUCAGAAAAGGAAGGCCCAAAUGAAGAGCAGAAAGGAGAAAAAUAAGUACUUGUCGGAGAACAAUGAAGAACAGGUUCAAAACAGCAAAAAACAACAGGAUUCUGAGAAGAGAGCUCAAGCUGAGGCAAGUUAUCGGGUAUGGAAACAACGUGCAGAUGAAGCAUUCCAAGCAAAGAAUAAAGAGGAAGUCAUGAAGAAAAGACAAAAGGCAGCCAAAGAGAGAAAAGAGAAGAUGGAAAAGGCGGAGGCAGCUCAGAAGGCAUUUUCUGCCUGGAAGGCACUUAAGGAUACUGAAAUCAAAACCCAACAAGAAAGAAACAGUUCCUCCACAAAGAAAUUACUCAUUUUAUCAGCCAAGAAUUUAUAAUUGUUAGCUGCUUUAUGCUGGUGCUGGCUGCACAUUUGUUGACCUAACUUUAGUAUCUGGCAAGCGACGUAACCGAGUCAAGAUACAGAGAGAACAGAUGCGUGCCACAGAAAGACUGUAUCAGGCAGAGCAGGCAUUUGAAGACUGGCUGGAGAGAGUGGAACAUAGGAAAAAAUUUGGCCGAUCAGGUCCUGUUUC
rnacentral:misc_RNA from 1 species